rnacentral:rRNA from 1 species
UGGAGAGGGAGCAUGAGAAAUGGCUACCACAUCCAAGGAUGGCAGCAGGCGCGCAAAUUACCCACUCCCGGCACGGGGAGGUAGUGACGAAAAAUAACAAUGCGGGACUCACAUGAGGCUCCGCAAUUGGAAUGAGCACACUUUAAAUCGUUUGUCGAGGAUCUAUUGGAGGGCAAGUCUGGUGCCAGCAGCCGCGGUAAUUCCAGCUCCAAUAGCGUAUAUUAAAGUUGUUGCAGUUAAAAAGCUCGUAGUUGGAUCUGGGGUUCGGGUCGGUGGUUUGCCAUUCCCAUGGCUACUGCCGUGCUCGACUCUUACUAGCCGGUGCGUCUCGUGGUGCUCUUAACUGAGUGCCACGGGAGCCUGGCAUGUUUACUUUGAAAAAAUUAGAGUGCUCAAAGCAGGCGGUUUCGCCUGAAUAGUGUUGCAUGGAAUAAUGGAAUAGGACCUCGGUCCUAUUUUGUUGGUUUUCGGGAUUGAGGUAAUGAUUAAGAGGGACGGUCGGGGGCAUUCGUAUUUCGGUGUUAGAGGUGAAAUUCUUGGAUCGCUGAAAGACGGACAAAUGCGAAAGCAUCUGCCAAGAACGUCCUCAUUAAUCAAGAACGAAAGUCAGAGGUUCGAAGACGAUCAGACACCGUCCUAGUUCUGACCAUAAACGAUGCCAACUAGCGAUCCGCAGUGGUUGCAAUAUAUGGACUCUGCGAGCAGCUUCCGGGAAACCAAAGUGUUUGGGUUCCGGGGGAAGUAUGGUUGCAAAGCUGAAACUUAAAGGAAUUGACGGAAGGGCACCACCAGGAGUGGAGCCUGCGGCUUAAUUUGACUCAACACGGGGAAACUCACCCGGUCCGGACACCGUAAGGAUUGACAGAUCGAGAGCUCUUUCUUGAUUCGGUGGAUGGUGGUGCAUGGCCGUUCUUAGUUGGUGGAGUGAUUUGUCUGGUUAAUUCCGAUAACGAACGAGACUCUAGCCUGCUAACUAGUUACGUCGUGUUCAUUCGCGACCGUAGACUUCUUAGAGGGACAGGUGGCGUUUAGCCACACGAAAUUGAGCAAUAACAGGUCUGUGAUGCCCUUAGAUGUCCGGGGCCGCACGCGCGCUACACUGAAGGAGUCAGCGUGUGCUAUCCGUGCCUGGAAAGGUUCGGUAACCCGUUGAAACUCCUUCGUGCUUGGGAUUGUGGCUUGUAAUUAUCGCGCAUGGACGAGGAAUUCCCAGUAAGUGCAAGUCAUCAGCUUGCGUUGACUACGUCCCUGCCCUUUGUACACACCGCCCGUCGCUACUACCGAUUGAAUGGUUUAGCAAGGUACUCGGAUUGGGUCCGAUUUUGCACGCAAGUGUGAGAUCGGUGCUCGAGAAGAAGGCCAAACUUGAUCAUUUAGAGG